rnacentral:tRNA from 1 species
GGAGGGUUCGCAUAGUGGUCUAGUGCGCGUCCCUGGAAAGGACGUAGGUCUUAACGGGCCUCGAGAGUUCAAAUCUCUCACCCUCCGCAA